rnacentral:rRNA from 1 species
AUUGAACGCUGGCGGCAUGCUUUACACAUGCAAGUCGAACGGCAGCACGGGUGCUUGCACCUGGUGGCGAGUGGAGAACGGGUGAGUAAUGCACCGGAACGUACCCAGUAAUGGGGGAUAACACAUCGAAAGAUGUGCUAAUACCGCAUAAGCCCUGAGGGGGAAAGCGGGGGAUCGUAAGACCUCGCGUUAUUGGAGCGGCCGAUGCCGGAUUAGCUAGUUGGUGAGGUAAAGGCUCACCAAGGCGACGAUCCGUAGCUGGUCUGAGAGGACGACCAGCCACACUGGGACUGAGACACGGCCCAGACUCCUACGGGAGGCAGCAGUGGGGAAUUUUGGACAAUGGGCGCAAGCCUGAUCCAGCCAUGCCGCGUGAGUGAAGAAGGCCUUCGGGUUGUAAAGCUCUUUCGCAAGGAAAGAAAACUUACCUUCUAAUAAAGGGUGAGGUUGACGGUACCUUGAUAAGAAGCACCGGCUAACUACGUGCCAGCCGCCGCGGUAA